rnacentral:rRNA from 1 species
AACGUAGGAGGCGAGCGUUAUCCGGAUUUACUGGGUGUAAAGCGCGUGCAGGCGGUUCUGCAAGUGGGACGUGAAAGCGCCCGGCUCAACCGGGCGAGGCCGUUCCGAACUGCGGGACUGGAGGCAGGUAGAGGCGUGUGGAAUUCCGGGUGUAGUGGUGAAAUGCGUAGAGAUCCGGAGGAACACCAGUGGCGAAGGCGGCACCCUGGACGACACCAGACGCUGAGACGCGACAGCACGGGGAGCGAAC